CUUCACCGAGCCGAGGAACAGCGGGAGUUCGCGGUCCUGGCCGUAGGUGGCGAGCAGCGCCUGGGCCUC
rfam:Actinobacteria bacterium OK074 ctg128, whole genome shotgun sequence.